CUGGGGGGAAAAGACAGCAGAGGCUGUCCCAUCUCCUAAAGGGAUGCUAGUUUACCAGGAAAAAGACAUAGCUAAGCAGAAACUCAUUGCCCUGAGAAUCAAGACAUGAGGUAAAAACAUUCUUAUGGUGUCCUUCAGCAGAGGUACUGUUUCUGCCACUUUCUGAAUUCUGCAGGGCGCAAGAGCAAGUCCAAAGCCAGAGAGAGGGGAAGGAAGAGAAGAUGGGAGAGGGGGAAAAAGAAACAUUGAUGCAAGAGAGAAGCAUGGAUUGGCUGCCUCACAGAUGCACUGGGUAUUGCACAUGUGUGGACCAGGAAUUGUAUGUACCCGGACCUGGGACAGAACCCACAACCUAGGCAUGUGCCCUGACCAGGAAUCAAACAUGCAAUUUUUCAGUCACAGGAUGACGCUCCAGCCAACUGAGCCACACCAGCC